rnacentral:tRNA from 1 species
GGCUGUAGCUCAGUGGCAGAGCACUUGCCUCGCAGGUGUGAGAUCUGGGUUCGAUCCUCAGCACCA